GAGCCUACAGCACCCGGUGUUCCCAGGUGGUCACCCUCCCAAGUACUGACCGAGCCCGACGUUGCUUAACUUCGGUGAUCGGACGAGAACCGGUGUUUUCAACGUGGUAUGGCCGUAGGCCAUAGUACUUUUGUCUGAAGAUGGUAACAAAGCUGUUACCGAAACGUCACACACUAUUUAUUUAUUUGGAUUUGGUCUUAUUACCUUUUGUUUAUAGGCAUUGGUGAAACUUUAAACAAAUUUUUUGGAAAUGAAACAAAAAGUAAAAGAAAACAAAUCUUAAAAGAAAAUUAAAUACAACACAACAAUAUACCAAAUUAGACAACAUAAAAGGCAUACAUUCAUUUAUUUGAAAUAAAUAUCCAAAUAAAUAAAUAGUGUGUGACGUUUCGGUAACAGCGUUGUUACCAUCUUCAGACAAAAGUACUGAAUGGAAAAAAGGAGCCUACAGCACCCGGUGUUCCCAGGUGGUCACCCUCCCAAGUACUGACCGAGCCCGACGUUGCUUAACUUCGGUGAUCGGACGAGAACCGGUGUUUUCAACGUGGUAUGGCCGUAGGCCAUAGUACUUUUGUCUGAAGAUGGUAACAACGCUGUUACCGAAACGUCACACACUAUUUAUUUAUUUGGAUUUGGUCUUAAUACCUUUUGUUUAUAGGCAUUGGUGAAACUUUAAACAAAUUUUUUGGAAAUGAAACAAAAAGUAAAAGAAAAUAAAUCUUAAAAGAAAAUUAAAUACAAUACAACAAUAAACCAAAUUAGACAACAUAAAAGGCAUACAUUCAUUUAUUUGAAAUGAAAAAAAAAAUUAAAAGAAAACAAAUCUGAAAAUAAAAUUGAAUACAACACAACUAUAUAGCAGAUAAGACAACAUAAAAAGGAAAAAUUCAUUUAAAGGACCUCAUUAAAAACUAUAUUUCUAGUUUUAUAAAUACGUGGGUUCAACUUUACCCGUAUGCUAUUCAAAGUUCGCACACGUGAAAAAGCCACAUAGAGCUGUCCAUGAGUAAACACGGGCUCAUGUAGCAAGAGACCCACUCUAGCAAAGGUUUGGCCUUGAGCCUUAUUAAUAGUCAUGGCAAAAGCCAACCUUAGUGGAAACUGACGCCUCUUCAGAAUGAAGGGAAGGUUGGUAUCUGAAGGAGCCAAAGAUAUUUUUGGCACCAAUACAGUUUGUCCAACUUUGGUCCCUGUCAGUAUUUGUGCUUCUAGGACAUGAGAGCGCAUGCGCUGGAUAACCAUACGUGUGCCAUUGCAGAGACCCUGCUUAGGAUUCAAAUUUCUAAGGAGCAUAACAAUAGCACCAAUCUUAAGGUUUAACCGGUGUGGAGGCAUUCCUGUGGGAGUAAGGCUAUUAAGGAAUUCAGUAGGGUAGUUAUUUUGUUCCUCCACAUUCUCACACUCGACACUGUCAACACUGAGAAAACACUGACUCCUGUUUGGUAAGCGAUCCAAAACUUUUUCAUUAAUCUCUAAUGAAUCUGUGUUUUUUGGCGUUAAAAUCACAGACUGGCUAAGGGCGGUAAUAUCACCAUAGGAAGAACCAAAUAUUUCCUGCACCAGGUCAACCCCAUGAAAGAUACAGCUUUCUGGAAGAGAAAUGAGGCCCUGUUGGUCUGUAGGUAGAUCACCAUCACCAACUUUAAGUAACCAUUGAGAGAAGCUCUGUGCAUCAAUACCUGCUCGCAUAUUCUGAGUAAGGCGCAAGAUCACAAACAAUGGCCAUAGCUUGCUUUGCUUAAUGCAAGCAGCAACAAUUUCAGCUCUUGAAGCUCGAGGUACCACAGGUAGCACUUGGCGAAAGUCACCUCCAAGAACAACAACCUUUCCGCCAAAAGCAAGGUCACAAUGCAUAAUGUCCUUUAGGAGACGAUCCACAAUUUCAAGUGCUCUGUAGUGGGCCAUAGGAGCCUCAUCCCAAAUAAUUAAGGAUGAUCUACGAAUAAGCUCAGCCUCAGAACUAUUGGCCGAGAUCGCAGCUACAGAAUUCUCAAGCAAGGGAAUCGGCAGCUUAAACCUGGAAUGGACAGUCUGGCCACCUGACAAAAGGGUAGCCGCUAUUCCAGUGGAGGCCAGCGGAAUGACAAUUUUUCCAACGGCUCUAACACAAUGAAUUAGGGUGUUAUAAACAUAAGUCUUGCCCGUACCACCAGGCCCAUCAAUAAAAAAGCAACGUGGAUUUACAUUGAGGGAAUCAACAAUUGUGUCAACAAUUGACUUUUGAUCUGGUGUAAGGGACCUAUACAUUUCUGUCCCAAUUUGCAGCUCUGCAUUAACAUCAAGGUGAUCCUCUCCUGAAUCAAGAAGUGGGGUUAGGGGUGCAGGAAGUCCAUAAUGGUGGCAACUGAGGCGAUUUUCUCUCAGCUGGAAUUCAAGCUCUCUGAGAGUCAUCUGUUCAGCAGCUGCGUCAGAUGUUGCACGAGAAAAGUCCUCACUAAGAUACCCCUUGUAUUUGGUCCACAGUGAUACAGGGUCGGUAGGAUUAUUGUAGAUGAGAAUUGUCGCAAAGAGCUGCCGCAGUUGACAAGGCAUUUGGAACAAAGCCGCCUCAGCUAAGCAUGCAUCCCAUUCAGAAUCAUCAGCCAAUAAUCCACGGCGCUGGGCAGCCUCUUUAAAAGUGGAGCAAACAAUAUCAUCCACAGUUCGCAAAUCUUCAAAACUCUGAGCACCUGCAACAUGUAAUAGUAGAAGCCGGAGGUGGUAUAUAACGCUCAGAAUCUUUAGGAUUCACUGAACACAUACGUCCAAUGCACAAAGCCCCACCCCGAACUCUAGCACUCCAUUGAUUCUGCCUGAAAACAUAAGCGGAAGGUAUGUCUCCAUAUAAAAGUGAUCUUGCGGAUACAUUAACACAAUUGAGCUGAAACCAGGCAGUCAGAGUUGUGCGUCUGCGUGAGGCAUUUUCAAGAGCCUGUUCUUCACUACCUUCAACAAAAUAGACAGAUUGAAAAUUAGGUAGAUGAACAGCUAAGCGACAUAUGGUAUGCGAGUGAGCAUGCAAGCGAUAUUCAAACAUUCGCCACAUUGCCUCAGGAGCACUUACAUACCGAGCGUCAAGAAAGUUUUUGAUUUCAUCAUGUGCCCUGCUUUCCAUAUCUAAUUCUCCAACAGACACUUCCACCUCAGCCCUGUCGUGUCCCUUAUAUACAUACUUGAAAAGAUAUUUGACACUUUUCACAGAGGCACAGACCUCCACAUUAAUGUGAGCAUUGAACCUAACCAGCAGAUAGGGGUUAUAGGGAACAACCCAGCGGUUAUCCACCUCGUGAGUGCCCACAACUAAUGUCUGGCCGUCAUCUCGACGUCUGUACCGAGGAUAGCCAUUAUUGUUAGCCUCAGUCAGCUGCAGGAAUGAUUUAGGGAAGUCUUUAGUACACUUGCCAUCAGACAUGCAUGGUGAGUGAAGAUUGAAGUUUCCACAAGGACCAUGGAUCAUAUGUUUACGAACCAUGUCAUACAGCUGAACCUGCAUAGUAGGGCUAGGAAUUUCUGCACAAACCAAUCUGUCAAUGGCAUCCCUGUCUCUAGGCUUGUCUUCUUCUCUAAGCAUAAACAGCAUGUGGGCAUGCGGUAAACCGCGUUUUUGGAACUCAACAACAUGCACCCGAGCAAUGACCACUCCCAAUACAUGCUGACUAACAAUCUCGUGCAGUAAUUGUUGUAACUUGAGAUUGAAAACUCUAGCCACCAGAUCCGGUCUAUCAGAAGGAUUCUGGUUAGGAAGAAGAUUUUCAACAAUGUCAGUCCAACGUGGGUUACAGGUAAAUGUCACGAAUAGGUCAGGUCUUCCUAACUUUCUAACAAUGGCCAUUGCAUCCUGAUAGUUUUGUUGCAUGGCCCGGGAACUCCCAGGAAAGGAAGAUGGAAGAAUAAAAAUACGGCCUAUUCGCACACCCCGAGAAUGUUCCUGCUCAUGGAUAUAAUCCAUCAGACCUUGAUAUAACUCCACCCUAAGCAGGGACUGAUUUUGGCGAAUAUAGUUCAGGCGAUUGCCCUCUGUUUUAACAUAGGCAUCAACAACAUAUUGCUGAAAUAGUCUCCUGCCAUAGUGAAUGGGCGAAAAGCCAGGUCUGAUGGCCAACCUAUAACUAUAGAACUGAAGCAUGGUAACAUGGUUUCUAGUGCUUGUGCGCAUGUUUUCUUCAUGUAAGAUUCCUAUUGCCCAACCAGGAUCACCGGCAGGAAAUAAAAGAGGGUAUGUCAUUGGGUCACAGUUAGGAUUAAGUGGAGAAAUACGCACUAAACCACAAUCAUGCGGAAAAACAGCAAUAUCUCUGUUAGAAGGUACAUGGCCAUCUUGAUCAACAAAAAUGGCCGCAACUUCACUUACACUUGGGGCAUUAUAUCGGCGAAGAUCUCUACAAUGAUUUUGCCGGAUGAGCAUCUGAACCUGACACAUUUGCCGGUUCUCAAUGCGAGCCCGGUGUUCCUCAGCUAGUUCCACCUGGUGCAUCUGCCUAUAAGCAGAAGUAUACGGAUUCACACGCCUAAGCACAGAAUCCAAAAGAGUCAAUAUACCAGGAUGGCAUUCCAAAGGCCUAGAUGCUGCAAUGCGUGUAUUAUUCGCAGCCUCAGAAUCCAAAAUAUAAAGUUGGGCAUAAGACGGGGCUCUGUUUCCAUGAGGAUGAAGGGGCCCAGUCAAAUGAUAGAUCUGUCCAUGGAUUCUAUAACAAAAAGGCCCCUGUCCAGAAAAGACAUCAACCUGCGCACCCAUGGAGGCAAAUGCCAAAGAGCUGUUGUAGCUCCGAAUGUUGGUCUGGAAGUACUUAGCCUCCACACUGUUUGAAGUCAUCAAUUCCAUCAUUUCAUAUGGAAAGGAGGACAAAGUAGGAAGAAUAACUUUCCCUUUGUGGCAGCAGGAGCUACCAACAGUUUCGCCAGGGAAAUGAAGGGCUGAGCAGUAAGGGCAGACUAUAGCGAGGCCCCCAAUAAUAUAUUCAGUGGGAACAGGAGAAAUAGGAUUAGGGGCGUUGUACCCGCGGCGAGUCCUAUAAGCUAGUCUUCCACGGCCUCUGCGAGGCAUGAUACAGAAGCCGCUGAAAAAAAAAAGCUAAACUAAAAACCAAGUUGAGCAAAUACAUGUCAAAAUAAAUUUAAUGUAAAAGAUCUCAAUACAAACAACAUAUUAAAUUGCACAGUGCAAAAAUGUAGAAAAUUGUAUGUAUCAUAUAACAUUUUAUCAUAUAACAAAUUAAGUAAUCAACAAUUGAUUAUACAAAUAAAUAAUUAGCCUCUUAUUGAGAAAAAUAAAGAUGGCAAAGACAUUAUGAAAGAUACUGCAAAAAAGAAUUAUGAAAGAUACGGCAAAAAAGAAAACCAGACACAAAAAAUUGAGCAAAAUGUAAAAUUAAAAACUAUAACAAAGAACCCACAAAUUAAUUUAAUCAGAAAUACAAAAAAGACGCUGAAAAAAAAAGGUAAAAUAAGAACCAAGCAGAGGAAAACUAUAAGUUUUAUCAUAUAACAAAUUAAGUAAUCAACAAUUGAUUAUACAAAUAAAUAAUUAGCCUCUUAUUGAGAAAAAUAAAGAUGGCAAAGACAUUAUGAAAGAUACUGCAAAAAAGAAUUAUGAAAGAUACGGCAAAAAAGAAAACCAGACACAAAAAAUUGAGCAAAAUGUAAAAUUAAAAACUAUAACAAAGAACCCACAAAUUAAUUUAAUCAGAAAUACAAAAAAGACGCUGAAAAAAAAAGGUAAAAUAAGAACCAAGCAGAGGAAAACUAUAAAACUGAAAGCCAGGACAGGCAUAAAAAGAAAAUUCCAAGCAUGUGAGGAAACAAUUGAUGAAAAAAAAAAGUGCAAAUAAUAUGUAUAUAAAAAAGCAAAGCCCAAUUCUAAACCCAAAUAUUUUUUUUAUGAGAAGAACAUCAACAUAUUGCAUGAUUAUGGCAGUCCAUAGCUUCCCUGACAAAAAUUCACCAAAAAAGUUAAAUAUUCCAAAAUAAGUAAGGCACUUUUGCAGCCCCCCUGACAAAAAUUCACUAAAAGAGUUAAGUAUCCAAAAAAAUAUUUUGGUAUAUAUAUUGCUAAAUGUGUAACAAACAUGUAUAUGAAAAAGCAAAGCUUAAUUCUAAGUUUUAAUAUUUUUUUCAAUAUACAGAAGAAAUAAGACACAAAAAUGGAGCUAAAUUCAAAUGAAAAACUAUAACAAACAGUUAUAAAAGAUAAUUAUUAUAGAAUAAAGUAAUAAUUCAAUCUACAAAUCGAAAAAUGUAUAUAUUUAAAUGAAAAACUAAGUUUCAAUAUUUUUUUUAAUAUACAGAAGAAAUAAGACACAAAAAUGGAGCUAAAUUCAAAUGAAAAACUAUAACAAACAGUUAUAAAAGAUAAUUAUUAUAGAAUAAAGUAAUAAUUCAAUCUACAAAUCGAAAAAUGUAUAUAUUUAAAUGAAAAACUAUAACAAAGUACUUACAUAAUCAAAUUAAUCAGAUAUAUAUAUUAUUUCAAAACAAAUUUCUACGGAAUUUCAAAACAAAUGAUUGAUGAUGAUAAAUGCAAAAAAUCUACGAUUGUAAAAUAGAUUAAAUUAAAAAAUAAAAAUAACUGUUAACAUUAGGAAAAUAAAAACAGGCCUAUGACACGAAGAAAAAAAUAACGAAAAUUUUGGUAUAUAGAUUGUUAUGUGUAGUUCAGAAUCUUCGGAGGAGAUAGCUCAGGACUUUACAAUGGAAAACUCUGUUACGGUAUUAUCUAUAUAGAUAAUCUUAUAUGGACUUUGAAAUAGAGUAGUUUCAAUCUCAAUCUUUCUCAACGAACUGUAUCUAUAAUAACA
rnacentral:piRNA from 1 species